GCCAACAUGUUGCCUUUAUCUGCAUUUGCACCUGCACCUUACUUGUUUCUUUCUUUUGUUUUUGACUCCAAAACCAAAAGUAAGUUUGAAACAUUAAAACAAGCUUGAGGUGCAGGUGCAGGUGCAGGUGAAUGCCAUGUUGGU
rnacentral:pre_miRNA from 13 species